AUCACACCUCAGCCACAGAGUCCUUCCACGUGAACACGACACCAGAUCAUCCGGGAGGUGUACGUCGGCGUCAUGGGCUCACCGUCACCGUCCAGACUUUUACCCCAUCCGACAUGAUGGCCCACAGACGGACCCAGAACCAAUGGAGCCUGGAUUCAACGGACGGAAAAUCCAACUGGUGCAUCUCGGGCAAAAAGCUUAAAAAAAAACUUUGUUAAAAGAGCCUGCUGGGAAAAUAGCAUUCUGCCAGCUGCUGUGGGCAUUUUGAAGUCAGACCGGCGGGUGUCCUCUCCAAACAGAUACCCACCGCCAGCGCUCACCUGUAGCCAAGGAACAUCGGGAGGAGCGGCACUAUGCCCGUAGAGGUGGAGCGAAAACCGUCUAGCACAAACCCGCAGGAGAUGCCAUGAAGCUAGUAUUACAUCAGCAAGUUCAUCUCAGGCUUUGCACACGGAGGAGCUGGACUCCUGCCAUGGCAGUUGAUGGUUGGGAGAGGCUGCGGCUUGAUUUGGGUCUGCUCUCCGUAGACACAAGUAAGUCCUCUCACCCCACCCCCUCCCUAAGUAAUCAUUUUGCCGCCGACAUGGCGCUGCUAAUCAACCAUCAUAAUCUUCCUCCCCGGUUGCAAUAUACCGCGUGUAGAAAAGCUUAGCAGCGGCCCUGUCAGAGCGAUGCCCCCUGGAUCUUGUCCGGACUCUGCGUUGUAAACUUU